UAAAACAUAUUAGGGGUAAAAGACAAAGUAACCCUUGAAUGGAUUUUACUUUCUAUCGAACCAUUUCAUCUCUUUUCAUUCGAACCAUUUCUCUCUUUUCAUUCGAACCAUUUCAUCUCCUCGUCUCUGCAGUAGCGAAGUGAAGUCUGGGUUUCGAUCUGAAGCUGAAGAUAAGAGAAUUUAGGGUUUCAGGCUGCAAGUGCAGUUUGAGGUUUUGGGGGUUUCGAUCUGAAGAUAUAUUUCUUAAGAGAAACGAUGCUGGUGACCAUUUUCCCUC